UACGGGGGGGGCAAGCGUUGUUCGGAAUUACUGGGCGUAAAGGGCUCGUAGGUGGCCAACUAAGUCAGACGUGAAAUCCCCAGGCUCAACCUGGGAACUGCAUCCGAUACUGGAUGGCUUGAAUCCGGGAGAGGGAUGCAGAAUUCCAGGUGUAGCGGUGAAAUGCGUAGAUAUCUGGAGGAAUACCGGUGGCGAAGGCGGCAUCCUGGACCGGCAUUGACGCUGAGGAGCGAAAGCUAGGGGAGCAAACGGG
rnacentral:rRNA from 1 species